rnacentral:rRNA from 1 species
GAUGAACGCUGGCGGCGUGCCUAAUACAUGCAACUCGAGCGAAUGGAUUGAGAGCUUGCUCUUAUGAAGUUAGCGGCGGACGGGUGAGUAACACGUGGGUAACCUGCCCAUAAGACUGGGAUAACUCCGGGAAACCGGGGCUAAUACCGGAUAACAUUUUGAACCGCAUGGUUCGAAAUUGAAAGGCGGCUUCGGCUGUCACUUAUGGAUGGACCCGCGUCGCAUUAGCUAGUUGGUGAGGUAACGGCUCACCAAGGCAACGAUGCGUAGCCGAGCUGAUAUGGUGAUCGGCCACGCGGGGACUGAGACACGGCCCAGACUCCUACGGGAGGCAGCAGUAGGGAAUCUUCCGCAAUGGACGAAAGUCUGACGGAGCAACGCCGCGUGAGUGAUGAAGGCUUUCGGGUCGUAAAACUCUGUUGUUAGGGAAGAACAAGUGCUAGUUGAAUAAGCUGGCGCCUUGACGGUACCUAACCAGAAAGCCACGGCUAACUACGUGCCAGCCGCCGCGGUAA